rnacentral:rRNA from 1 species
AUACGGAGGGGGCUAGCGUUGUUCGGAAUUACUGGGCGUAAAGCGCGCGUAGGCGGGCUGGUCAGUCAGGGGUGAAAUCCCGGGGCUCAACCCCGGAACUGCCUUUGAUACUGCCAGCCUAGAGGUCGAGAGAGGUGAGUGGAAUUCCGAGUGUAGAGGUGAAAUUCGUAGAUAUUCGGAGGAACACCAGUGGCGAAGGCGGCUCACUGGCUCGAUUCUGACGCUGAGGUGCGAAAGCGUGGGGAGCAAACAGGAUUAGAAACCCUAGUAGUCC